GCCUACACAUGCAAGUCGAGCGGAAACGAGUUAUCUGAACCUUCGGGGAACGAUACGGCGUCUAGCGGCGGACGGGUGAGUAAUGCCUGGGAAAUUGCCCUGAUGUGGGGGAUAACUAUUGGAAACGAUAGCUAAUACCGCAUAAUGUCUACGGACCAAAGAGGGGGACCUUCGGGCCUCUCGCUUCAGGAUAUGCCCAGGUGGGAUUAGCUAGUUGGUGAGGUAAUGGCUCACCAAGGCGACGAUCCCUAGCUGGUCUGAGAGGAUGAUCAGCCACACUGGAACUGAGACACGGUCCAGACUCCUACGGGAGGCAGCAGUGGGGAAUAUUGCACAAUGGGCGCAAGCCUGAUGCAGCCAUGCCGCGUGUAUGAAGAAGGCCUUCGGGUUGUAAAGUACUUUCAGUCGUGAGGAAGGCAAUA
rnacentral:rRNA from 1 species